rnacentral:rRNA from 1 species
GCGCGAAAACUUUACAAUGCUGGCAACAGCGAUAAGGGAACCUCGAGUGCCAGGUUACAAAUCUGGCUGUCGAGAUGCCUAAAAAGCAUUUCAUAGCAAGGGCCGGGCAAGGCCGGUGCCAGCCGCCGCGGUAACACCGGCGGCUCGAGUGGUAACCGUUAUUAUUGGGUCUAAAGGGUCUGUAGCCGGCCGGAUAGGUCUCUUGGGAAAUCUGGCAGCUCAACUGUCAGGCUUUCAGGAGAUACUGUCUGGCUCGAGGCCGGGAGAGGUGAGAGGUACUUUAGGGGUAGGGGUGAAAUCUUGUAAUCCUUGAAGGACCACCAGUGGCGAAGGCGUCUCACCAGAACGGACCUGACGGCAAGGGACGAAAGCUAGGGGCACGAACCG